CCCACAAAACAUGGUAUUUUCAUUGGAAAGGGAUUUUCAGAACAUUAAGAUACAGUUUUGUCCAAUCACUAGGGAUAUUUACUUUCUCCAGGGACUCUUGUUCCUGUAAAAACACAAUAAUGAAAAAAUCCAUACAGCAUAUACAAAUGUAUAAAUGGUGAAAAUAGUGAAAAAUAGUUUCCUUGUUUUUUGAGGUUGCUUUUUUUUUCUUUUUUUUUUUUUUUGUUUAGAUACAUCAAAAUAUAGAUCUAGCACCAUUAAUUUGAAUAGUUCCAGAUUAUGUUUAUUUGCUUCAUUUUGUUAUAAAAAAUGUUUUCCUCUGUGUUCAUAUAAUACUUUUCCCAACAGCUUCAGAAAGUUUUACCUUAAAGUGAAAUGGAAAUACGUUUCCACUUGUGUAUAAAAUCCUUACAUUUAUAUAAACUUCAUGCUGUUGAAUUUAGCUUUGUCCUAAGGUGAAAAACUCCAAUUUGUUGUGAAGUCAUCAGGAAGUUACAUAUAUCCAAAUGCCUGAUUUUAACUACUGAGUGUAAUAAAUUUCCUAUUAUUUAUACAUGGAAUUACAGCAAUAAAUAGCUGAUUUCAAAGAGAAUUAUAGUAUAAAUUUCAGCUAGCUUGUGCUUGGAAAGUAUCUAAAGGUUGUAGAAUAAUUUUUCUACAUAGAUUGUUGAUAAAAGUUAGGGAGGUAUAAAGUACUAAGAUUUCAUUCAUAAUGUUCAAGAUCAGAUUGUCUUCUCGAGAAACAAAUCUUAAUUUUCAAAGCUAUGCUAUUAAAAUGUCUUCCUAUUUUGUCACUGUUUACUGCUGAGAUUUCAAUGGAUCUAUAACCUGUGUUCUUUAUUUGCUUUCUCUGGAUGACAAGAGGACAAACUGUACAGCUGGAGAUUACUCAGCAUCUUGCAACACUUCAUUUAGAAACAUAUCUUACAGCAUCGUUUAGAGACAUUUUUAUGUAGAUAAUAUAAGAAGACAUAUAACCAAUGAUCACAUGAAAAAAAAUAUUGGCAGACAAGGACAUUAUGAAAAACUGAUGUUGGAACAACCAAGAUACUGUUUAUUCUGAGCCUAACUAAGUGAUAUGAGAAUUUGAGAAGUUCUGAAAAGCACAGCAAAUAGAC
ensembl:lncRNA